UUUUUCCUCCAAUGGUCUUCUCUCGACUCUUCCACUUCGCCGGAGUGAAUCUCUCUCGCCGUGUCUACUUCUUAAGAAUCUCUUCUUCUUCUUCUUCUUCACCGAGCUUGACUCUCGCAUCGAUUCAUAAAGCUUCAAACUUUACGCUUUACGGAUCAAUUCACGCUUCUUCUGUUCAAGCCCCUGAUGAUGUUACACAAGACGCCGAUAAAAUCUGCAAGACUCUGACCAAAUUCUCAGAUUCAAGCGUUGAAGUUUUACUAAACGAAGCUUCUGUUAAGCUUUCGCCGGGACUGAUCGAAGAAGUACUGAAGAAGCUGAGCAACGCUGGGGUUUUAGCUUUGUCUGUAUUCAAAUGGGCAGAGAAUCAAAAGGGUUUCAAGCAUACUACUUCGAGCUACAACGCUUUAAUCGAAUCAUUAGGUAAGAUCAAGCAAUUCAAACUAAUUUGGAGUUUAGUAGACGAUAUGAAACAGAGGAAGCUUUUGAGUAAAGACACGUUUGCGUUAAUCUCUAGACGUUACGCUAGAGCUAGGAAGGUUAAAGAAGCUAUAAAUGCGUUUCAUAAGAUGGAAGAGUAUGGGUUUAAGAUGGAAUCAAGUGAUUUCAAUCGAAUGCUUGAUACUUUGAGCAAAUCUAGAAACGUUGGGGAUGCACAGAAGGUGUUCGAUAAAAUUAAAAAGAAAAGGUUUGAGCCUGAUAUUAAGUCGUAUACUAUUUUACUUGAAGGUUGGGGUCAGGAGUUGAAUCUUUUGAGGGUUAAUGAGGUUUACGGAGAGAUGAGAGAUGAAGGUUUUGAACCUGACGUUGUUACUUAUGGUAUCAUUAUCAAUGCGCAUUGCAAGGCGAAAAAGUAUGAUGAAGCUGUUAGGUUCUUUAAUGAGAUGGAACAGAGGAAUUGUAAGCCAAGUCCUCACAUUUUUUGUAGUUUGAUCAAUGGACUUGGCUCUGAGAGGAAGCUGAAUGAUGCUCUUGAGUUUUUCGAGAGAUCAAAGAGUUCAGGGUAUCCUCUUGAAGCUCCUACUUACAAUGCACUAGUUGGAGCUUAUUGCUGGUCACAGCGAAUGGAAGAUGCAUUUAAAACCGUGGAAGAGAUGAGGUUGAAAGGGAUUGGUCCAAAUGCUCGAACUUAUGAUAUAAUUCUUCAUCAUUUGACUCGUAAGCAGCGGACCAAAGAAGCCUAUGAAGUUUACAAGAAGAUGAGUUGUGAACCGACUGUGAGUACUUAUGAGAUCAUGGUGAGGAUGUUCUGCAACGAAGAGAGAUUGGAUAUGGCGGUUAAAAUUUGGGAUGAGAUGAAAGGAAAAGGUGUUCUUCCUGGAAUGCAUAUGUUCUCGAGUUUGAUUACAGCUAUGUGCCAUGAGAACAAGUUAGAUGAAGCUUGUGAGUAUUUUAAUGAGAUGUUGGAUAUGGGUAUCAGGCCACCGGGACAAAUGUUUAGCCGUCUUAAACAAACGCUUCUAGAUGAAGGCCGUAAAGAUAAAGUUGUGGAUUUGGCUGUGAAGAUGGAUAGGCUGAGGAAAACACAACUUGUUGGCUGAAACGGGUUAAUGGCUAGCGAUCUAAGCAGUUAGAGAUUGUUUCUCCCAGAGCAAAAGUACAGCUGUAGGAACCGUGAUCAGUCACAAACUCACAAUAUUGAAAACACUACCAGAAGAUGAGAUGUUUUGGUGUAUGAAUUAAGUUCUGACAAAUGACAAGUCUAUGUUAUUAAACCAACAAGAAUGGUUCAUUGGCGUACCAACGUCGUUGUCGCGUCCGGAAGCGAGUUGCUUGCCGGUUUAUGAAGUCUUGAGAGAUCGGCUCUCACCAUGAUAGGAGGUGGUAGAUGUUACUUCGGUUUGGCCAUGGGCAUCCUUGGUAAAUCUCAUUCGUUGGUGCUUCAGAAGAAGGGUGUUUUGUUUUCUUUGUUCUACUGUUUCUUUUGAGGUUUUAUUGCCGGUUACCUUUGUUUUUAGUUUAAGGUAUCGUUUUCCUUCGUUUUUGGUUGUAGAAUUUCUGUUUAGCAGUUCUAUCUUUAGACUCUGGGGACAUAAAUGUUAUCCGCCGGCUUACUGGUUCUAGGGACAUCAAUGUCAUCCGCCGGCUUUAGCUUUGUAUUUCACCUU